GAAGCCAGCUUGCUGGUGGAUUAGUGGCGAACGGGUGAGUAACACGUGGGUGAUCUGCCCCAAACUUUGGGAUAAGCCUGGGAAACUGGGUCUAAUACCGAAUAUGACCGAUACUCGCAUGGGUGUUGGUGGAAAGCUCCGGCGGUUUGGGAUGGGCCCGCGGCCUAUCAGCUUGUUGGUGGGGUAAUGGCCUACCAAGGCGACGACGGGUAGCCGGCCUGAGAGGGCGACCGGCCACACUGGGACUGAGACACGGCCCAGACUCCUACGGGAGGCAGCAGUGGGGAAUAUUGCACAAUGGGCGCAAGCCUGAUGCAGCGACGCCGCGUGAGGGAUGACGGCCUUCGGGUUGUAAACCUCUUUCACCAGGGACGAAGCGAAAGUGACGGUACCUGGAGAAGAAGCACCGGCCAACUACGUGCCAGCAGCCGCGGUAAUACGUAGGGUGCGAGCGUUGUCCGGAAUUACUGGGCGUAAAGAGCUCGUAGGCGGUUUGUCGCGUCGUUCGUGAAAACUUGGGGCUUAACUCCAAGCGUGCGGGCGAUACGGGCAGACUUGAGUACUACAGGGGAGACUGGAAUUCCUGGUGUAGCGGUGAAAUGCGCAGAUAUCAGGAGGAACACCGGUGGCGAAGGCGGGUCUCUGGGUAGUAACUGACGCUGAGGAGCGAAAGCGUGGGUAGCGAACAGGAUUAGAUACCCUGGUAGUCCACGCCGUAAACGGUGGGUACUAGGUGUGGGUUCCUUUUCACGGGAUCCGUGCCGUAGCUAA
rnacentral:rRNA from 1 species